rnacentral:misc_RNA from 1 species
CGUCGAAGGUGGGGCUGAUGACUGGGGUGAAGUCGUAACAAGGUAUCCGUACCGGAAGGUGCGGAUGGAUCACCUCCUAACAGGGAGACAAACAACGAUUUUGAUGCCUGAGUAUUUUAUUCUUAGGCCGAAAUCCUGUCACCUUAGGUCGAUCGGUACCUCAGCAUUAAUGGCAGAGAUCAACAAGAAAUUGUUGUGAGAUUGCAGGAGAUGUUCAGUUCCUAAACUUUGUCUAGGUCACACCCCACAAGGGAUGAGACUCCUGGGCCAUUAGCUCAGGUGGUUAGAGCGCACCCCUGAUAAGGGUGAGGUCCCUGGUUCAAGUCCAGGAUGGCCCAUUCGGUGUUGGGGGUUUAGCUCAGUUGGUAGAGCGCCUGCUUUGCAAGCAGGAUGUCAGGAGUUCGAGUCUCCUAACCUCCACUGGCCAACCUUGAUUCCCAACUUCAAAUUAUUGGAGAUUUAAUUCGAUUGUGAUGUGUGAUUUAGAUGUGUCCGCUGGAUGACCCCAGCUUCCUGUCAUUCCAAAAAAUGAGUGUUGACUCAGAAAUUGGUUGAUAAGACGCUGGGCUCGAACAAGAGUGUUGAGCGAUCAACAUUUUUGAUUUGAAGUCUAGCAGAACCUUGACAACUGCAUAGGAAAGUCUGGAAAAACAAAGCAUCUUACAGAUGCAUUGUUUUGAGUCUGAAUAUUCGAAAGAGUAUUUGGAACCAGAGCAAUGAAAAUUCUUUUGAGCGAGAGCCGAGACUCUUGAGCGUUCUUUGAUUUGUGUCGAGCAAAUCAGAGUUUGAUUGUAUUUUUAAUCACAGUGAAAGCUGAAAGAUGAAAAUAUGAGAAUCUGUUUUCAACGACAGUAAGCGUUCAGGAGGAUAAAUUGGUCAAGCUACAAAGGGCUCACG